UGCAAAACCUAAAGAAUGAUCUAAAAUGGUCUACUUCUCAAAAUAUUUACAAAUAUAUACACUUAUAUAGAUAUCCAAAAUUACAAAUGAAAGGAGCUUUAACAUUAAUUAAUUAUAUAUAUUAUGACUCAUAUAAACACCCACUUUUGUUUGCUUGGGUUAAGUAGUGCAUAUAAUUUUUGGUUCAUUUCAGAGAAAUGUUUACUGCAAAGCAUUUGAAACAGAGUAAAUAAAGUCCAAAAAGUCAGUUCCCUUAAGAAGACCUUUACCAGUCAAAAUUUCAAAAUCUAACAACAAUAGGAACCCAAUCACAGCUGCCUUCCCAUUUAU
rnacentral:lncRNA from 1 species